rnacentral:rRNA from 1 species
UACGUAGGGUGCAAGCGUUGUCCGGAAUUAUUGGGCGUAAAGAGCUCGUAGGCGGUCUGUCGCGUCGGCUGUGAAAACCCGGAGCUCAACUCCGGGCCUGCAGUCGAUACGGGCAAACUGGAGUGUUGCAGGGGAGACUGGAAUUCCUGGUGUAGCGGUGAAAUGCGCAGAUAUCAGGAGGAACACCGGUGGCGAAGGCGGGUCUCUGGGCAACAACUGACGCUGAGGAGCGAAAGCGUGGUGAGCGAACAGG